rnacentral:rRNA from 1 species
AACCUGGUUGAUCCUGCCAGUAGUCAUAUGCUUGUCUUAAAGAUUAAGCCAUGCAUGUCUAAGUAUAAGCAUUUAUACCGCGAGACUGCGAACGGCUCAUUAAAACAGUUAUGGUUUAUUUGAUGGUUCCUUUGCUACUUGGAUAACCGUAGUAAUUCUAGAGCUAAUACAUGCACGAAGGGGCGACUUACGAAGCCCUGUAUUUAUUAGAUUAAAGCCAACCACCUCCGGGUGUCCGUGGUGAAUCAUAGUAACUUAUCGGAUCGCCGGCUCUAUGCCAGCAACGUGUCAUUCAAAUUUCUGCCCUAUCAGCUUUAGAUGGUAGGAUAUGGGCCUACCAUGGCGGUGACGGGUAACGGAGAAUUAGGGUUCGAUUCCGGAGAGGGAGCCUGAGAAACGGCUACCACUUCUAAGGAAGGCAGCAGGCGCGCAAAUUACCCAAUCCUGACUCAGGGAGGUAGUGACAAGAAAUAACAAUAAACCGGCUUAUGCCGGUUUAAUUGGAAUGAGUACAAUUUAAACAUCUUAACGAGGAACAAUUGGAGGGCAAGUCUGGUGCCAGCAGCCGCGGUAAUUCCAGCUCCAAUAGC